UGGGGAAUUUUGCACAAUGGGGGAAACCCUGAUGCAGCGACGCCGCGUGAUUUAGAAGGCCUUCGGGUUGUAAAAAUCUUUUGUAUGGGAAGAAAAUGACAGUACCAUACGAAUAAGGACCGGCUAAUUACGUGCCAGCAGCCGCGGUAAUACGUAAGGUCCGAGCGUUGUCCGGAAUCAUUGGGCGUAAAGGGUACGUAGGCGGAUAAGCAAGUUAGAAGUGAAAUCCUAUAGCUCAACUAUAGUAAGCUUUUAAAAAUGCUAAUCUUGUGGUAUGGAAGGGAAAGUGGAAUUACUAGUGUAGCGGUGAAAUGCGCAGUUAUUAGGAGGAAGACCGGUGGCGAAGGCGACUUUCUGGCCAUAUACUGACGCUGAGGUACGAAAGCGUGGGUAGCAAACAGG
rnacentral:rRNA from 1 species